rnacentral:ncRNA from 2 species
UCCGCUAAGGAGUGUGUA